AAAAAAGCACGAUGCCAAAUCGGUUUUUUUCUGUUAGUUGCGAAUGUAUUCGUUAUAGUAGUUAAUUUGCUAGUCCACGGGAUGUUCCCGCUGAAAUUGGACUUCGUUAUUAUGAAUAUUAAUAAAUUAAUAUGAGGUGUGUUUUUAUCAACUUAACCACUUGGUUGUUUUUGCUUCAGAAAAGCAACUAGUUAUAAAUGUAAGGGCUUUUUUGGACAACUUCGGUGAAAAAGUGUUGAUUUCGUAGUUCAGUCAGCGUAACUUAUAUCCGAGAGGUCUUACAGGCGCCACAGACACCUAUCAGCCUUUUGUAAGGAGGAGCAGCUCGAGUGCGGUGCGGUCAGUGUAAGCUGCUUAGUUUCUCAAAUUCAUAUUACUGAUAAAGUGUUAAAACUUAGAUGAGAUGUUGGUGUUUUAUGGCUCACGAAUUCGCAAUAACGGAUACGUAUAGCAGUUCGUGUUAAUGACAUUAAUCCAAACUUAUUGAUGACGUGAUAACAUGGGCGUCGAAUCCAAUAUUAAUCAUGCUGAGGUUUUCUCGACGGGUUAAUGUGUAUAAAUGCAGUUAUAAAAUUAAAAGGGACAAGAUAGUUGACGUGACCCUCAUGUUUCCAUGGCAAUCAGUGAAUUACAUGUUACGCUUAUGAUCGCACCUGCGGUCAUUCGCGCAGUAUCCAUUAUUUUAAGCGGCAUGAAACACUUAAGUUAACUCCUUUGUACGAAAAUAUCAUGUCGUAGCCCUUCAAAUUAGAAAAGUGAGGAUGAUCUUGUCAAUGCUGAGAUUUUUUCAGGCAUCAACAGCCACUACAUCUGGAUCAGAUUGAACAAGAAACAGACAGCAAGGGUUCUCAGAUCAGAAACAGAAUGACACACAAACACAAGAAACUUCACAGGCAGAUCAACAUGCAAUUUGAAGACGUGUGAUAAAAUACAGAGAGGUGAAGUAGUGUGUCUUUCCAGAUCCCCAAAUCAUUCCCCCUUAAAAGAUGAGCCUGAAGAGGAGAUUUGGGAAGAUGCUGUUUCAUAAGUCGCUUUGCCAGAUCACCUGUGGUCGGGAUGUCUGCUAACAAGAUGCCUUGCUGGUCUGAGCGAGUUUAAAGUCUUACACAGACAGUCCAGAAGUUCUGAAGUCCAUCUUCGAUUUCAUUGAUGCUGUCAUCGUAUUAAGUACAGCAUGAGCCAGAAUAGAUGGGUGGUGGUGGCCAUAAGAAGACUGUCAACUAAACCAACAACAAAAUUCAUAUUUGCAGUUUUUCUUGAAUAAAGUUUUUCUAUUCAGAUUAAUAAAAUGACUUUUAAACAUGA